rnacentral:rRNA from 1 species
UCUAAUAGAAAUCCUACCUACACCUAAGCAGUACAAUGGUCUAACAUCAUUAAAACUUAAAAAUUGUGGCGGCAGCUUAAACACUCAGGGGAACUUACCAUAUAAUUGAUAACCAACAAGAGACUUUCACCUGUUCUUAUAAUUAGUAUACCGCCGUCUUUAAACUCUCCUAAGGAGAGUUUAAAAUACUUACCCUUAAUAUGACAGGUCAUGGUGCUGUGAAUGUACAGGAAUUUUAAGGUGAGUUACAAUAUCUAAGAGUAUUCAGAUUAUACUUUUUAAUAGCUAUUUGAAGGAGGACUUGAUUGUAAAGAGUAUCUUAUUAGUCAGCCCUAGCUUGACCAAUAAAACAAAUAAUACUUGAAAAGUAAUUAGGCUGUGC